CAGCAGCCACGGUAAUACGUAGGUGGCAAGCGUUGUCCGGAAUUAUUGGGCGUAAAGGGCUCGCAGGCGGUUUCUUAAGUCUGAUGUGAAAGCCCCCGGCUCAACCGUGGAGGGUCAUUGGAAACUGGGAAACUUGAGUGCAGAAGAGGAGAGUGGAAUUCCACGUGUAGCGGCGAAAUGCGUAGGGAUGUGGAGGAACACCAGUGGCGAAGGCGACUCUCUGGUCUGUAACUGACGCUGAGGAGCGAAAGCGUGGGGAGCGAACAGGAUUAGAUACCCGCGUAGUCCCUGUCUCUUAUAC
rnacentral:rRNA from 1 species